ACAAAACACAUUGCAAGGGUUGAUUCAUGACAUAGUUUACAGAUCUUCCGUCGGACAUUCUGCUUACAAUUUUCGACAAGAUCGGAGCACAUGACAUCUUACACUCGGCACAAUUUGUGUGCAAGGAAUGGUAUAACCUUUCUCUCAAUUUUCAAACAUGGAGUCAUAUCGAUGGAACAGACUUAAUCUUCAAGGAACUCGAGAUUGCUCUAGAUCGUAGUUCUGGGGGUUUGAUUGACUACGAAACUUAUACACUGAAUAUACGGGAUUACGAAGACCUCGAAUACGUAUUCGAAAGGUAUAAAUAAAUUUUCAUUACCUUAAUUACGAUCGGAUCUUAAUAAUUACCAUCCAAACAGGUCUCCACAAUUGAAGACAUUAAGUUUUUCAUGCCAAGGUUGGUUUUGCCCUAUUCUCGAGAAAGUAUUAACAAAAGCUUCCAAGAACUGUCCGUUAAUAAAUGAUAUAAGCGCGUUUGAAUUUGAAUUCGACGAUGAUUUCAUAAUACUUAUUGGGAAUUUAUUUCCAAACCUCAAAAAGUUUCGAAUGGUCGGUAAAUGUGAUGAGGUAUCGGUAGCUUCUAUAACAAAAAAGAUGAGUGGAUUGAUCGAGUUACAACUCGAUAUGGACAAUUUUAGCUAUGCUGAUAUUUGCAUCCGUAUACGUGCUAUUCUUAAUGGUUAUCCUCGUCUUCAACUCCUUGGUGUUACGAUACAGAUGGAUAGUGAUUUUUUGUUAUACAACUUAGACGAAGAUCUCAAAAAGAUAUUGAAGUCUAUUAAGGUUUGCGAAUAUUGCAGUUAUUACGGAUUUUGGAAUUUUUAUAUGCAUACUUGGAGGAUAUAGAGGGUCAACAUGCAUGAUAAAAGUAGGAGGUCCGAAGAGGUAUGAGUCGAGACAGCGUCGGGAGAUCGGAGGAGGAGGAGACGCGAGUGGAGACGAAACGUUUUGUAAACCCUCGGGUUUUAGUUUUUGUAUUUGUAAAACUUGAGUUAAAAAUAAUUACAACAUGUAUUAAUUAUACUAGCUAUCUAUGAGCCUUGAGUAUGGGCCGGACUUAAUAUAAUUAAAUCUAAACGCAUAAUACUUUAUACUUCAAUACAAUAUCUGAGAUUUGUCUCAGUUAUUAAAUUUUUGGUAGUUCUUAUAUCAUUAUUAGGUAGUUGGAUUGUUGAAGGUUCAAGGUUCGAGUCUCACUGUAUGUAUUUUAAUUUUAAUUUACUUAUGUGUCGUAACUUAAUUUAUAAAAAAAAUGGUUUUUAUAUCUAGUUUUUUUUUGUAAAGUGCUAUUAAAACAUAAAUUUAAACAAUAAUAAAUGAAAUUUAAACAAAAAAAUAUAUGGAUAUAAAUGAAUUAUUUUAUAAAAUUUUGCAGAAAAAAAUCUUAAAUUAAAUGUGAUAGUUUUUAUUGAGACAGUUCUUGGAUUGAGUUGUAUGCCAAACACAACCAUGUACAAAAGUGAGAUUUUUUUGCUUGUUUAUUUUCUUAACAGGUAAAAAUAAGUUGUCCGGAGUUUGAGUUAAGCCGUAUCAAUAGGAUGAUUUUCCUAUCCAAAGCAGAAAAAUCCCUGUCCCCGGCCGAAAUCCCCGGACAUUUCCGGGUACGGUGAUGGGGAUUGAAAUUCCCGUCCCGUAUAAUCCCCGUACCCGGAGAAAAUUGCAUAUAGACCUUAUAAAAAAUUUAUAUUGUAUAAUUUAUAUAAAUAACCUUAUACAAUAUAUUAAAUAGAUAAAUUUAUAUUUAAAAUUGUAAAAUUAAAUCUAUAUUUUAAAUUUCUAAUUAAAAAGUUAAACCUAAUCAAAUUAAUCUCGUUCUCAUUCUUGUAACCUUGUUCCACCGUCGAGCGCCGACAUCUUGUUCCACCGUUGUCCUAAGGUAAGCUGUCGCAUGUCUGAAUUUUUUUUAAAUGAAAUAACUAAGGUAUUAGCGUAUUAACCGCUUGUUCCACCGCUUGUUUAAAUGAAAUAAUUAAGGUAUUACUGUAUUAACCGCUUGUUCCAUCGUUGGUUUAAAUGAAAUAACUAAGGUAAGACAAAAGAUAUUUUUGUUCCACCGCACUUUAUUCUUAUGAUCUUUUUUAUUAAAUAUUAAUUAAUAAAAGGAUUGACGAUUUCAGUAUAUCACGAUAGUCUAUUUUGGUUAUUUUUAGUAAAUUACUGUUUAAAAUAAUAAUAAUAAUAAAAUAUUUUGACUGGGUACGGGGACGAUUUAUGGGACCGGGGAUUUCCCCGUCCCCGACGAUGAACGCAAUCCCCACCCCGUCCUGCUUACCCCUAGCUUGAUUGUUGUAGGUCUAAGGUUCGAUCUCACUUUGUGUAUUUUAAUUUUUAUUUACUAAUAUAUUUCCACGUACCUUAUUAAAAAAAGUAGUAGUUUUUAUAUCUAGUUUUUUUUGUAAAGUGCAUUAAUUGGAAUUUAAAACAAGAAAACAAUAAUAAAUGAAAUUUAAACAAAAAAAAUACAAGGAUAUAAAUUAUUUAUUUUAAUAAAUUUUGCAAAAAAAAUCUUAAAUUAAAUGUUUUACAAAAAAAUAAAGAAAUUAUUCUUGAAAAACAACUUCAUAGGUCCGGGUCCAAAUCAACCAGUCCAGACCCGGUCCAUUUACAACCCUAUUGUUGGACCCGUUUUAAGCCCAUGUCUAAUUUCGGAAAGAGUCUCGAUAAUUCAAAAUCUCAUUGUGAAGCUGACUUUGUAUUUUAUUGGAAACACUUCGGGUAAAAUAUUAAUCUAGACCGCUCAAUUUAUUUCAAACGAAAAGCCUAGAUUAAUAUCUCGUAAAAUAUCUUAAUUACUUGAAAAAUACACCUAUAUUUUAUAUCGAGGUGUUCGAUCGUUUCAUUCCAUUCGUUAAUUCUAAAUUAAGAAUCUAUUUUUAAUUAUUCUAUUUUUUUGCUUCUAAAUUCGAAUCCUAAAAGCUUAUAUUAUAAAUAGAGAUGAAACAUUAUUUAUAAUUCCAUUCCAUUGAACGACAAAACACAUUGCAAGGGUUGAUUCAUGACAUAGUUUACAGAUCUUCCGUCGGACAUUCUGCUUACAAUUUUCGACAAGAUCGGAGCACAUGACAUCUUACACUCGGCACAAUUUCUGUGCAAGGAAUGGUAUAACCUUUCUCUCAAUUUUCAAACAUGGAGUCAUAUCGAUGGAACAGACUUAAUCUUCAAGGAACUCGAGAUUGCUCUAGAUCGUAGUUCUGGGGGUUUGAUUGACUACGAAACUUAUACACUGAAUAUACGGGAUUACGAAG
rnacentral:lncRNA from 1 species